rnacentral:lncRNA from 1 species
UCCCAAAUAAAAUAUAAUUGUAAUCACUCGACCUAUAUAUUGGCAAUAAUAACUCGUUGGGUUUAAACCACCAGCCCAAAAUAUUUAAGCCCAGUUAUUAUUAUUACUAGUGUGAAAUUCUUACUAUUGGAGUGUCACAAACUCUCCCGUUUAGGUCCUGACAUUCUCGUUAGUCUUAAACACACACAGCCGAAAAUCAUCAGGCGAUGUGAGAUUUGUAGGAUGUCAGCUUUAAACACAUACAGUCCAAGAUCAAUAGAUGAUGUAAGACUUAUCUCAAUAGCCUUAUCAUUCUGAGCCUAACUUAGCAUGUCAUUCAUCGAUCCUGCCUUAGUAACUUAGCCUAUCAUUCACCGACUUUGAUUUAGCAUGUCAUUCCGACUCUGCUUCAAUCAAGACUUAUUUUACACUUUCUGUUGGUGAAUCGGCUUUGAUACCAAAUGUAACGAUCCUGCCCACUAACAAUAAUAACUCGUUGGGUCCAAACCACCGAUUCAAAAUACUUAAAUCUAGUUAUUAUUAUUACUAAUGCGAAGUCCUCAUAUAUCCAAUAAUAAUUCUAUUCUCAUCUGAUGUGAAGCAAUUGGUUUGUCACAGGAAAGCUCUCUAUUCAAGUUUUAUCUGUCUAAUGCAUGCCGAAAGAGAAG